rnacentral:rRNA from 1 species
UACGUAGGGUGCGAGCGUUGUCCGGAAUUAUUGGGCGUAAAGAGCUCGUAGGCGGUUUGUCGCGUCGACUGUGAAAACCUGGGGCUUAACCCCGAGCCUGCAGUGGAUACGGGCAGACUAGAGGUAGGUAGGGGAGAAUGGAAUUCCCGGUGUAGCGGUGAAAUGCGCAGAUAUCGGGAGGAACACCGGUGGCGAAGGCGGUUCUCUGGGCCUUACCCGACGCUGAGGAGCGAAAGCGUGGGGAGCGAACAGG